AAGGGAAAGAGAUGACGCUCCCAUCUACUCAUACCUAAUCAAUGAGUUAACUCAUGACAUGCACCGAGCAUUGGGUGUCCCUCCUCAUAAACACCAGCACGCAAUCAUCAAUGCAGAGAGAGAGAGAGAGAGAGAGAGAGAGAGAGUUGAAGGAAGGAAGCUGGUGGAAUUGAAUGAGUUAGCCUUCCACGGUUUUGAGCAUUCACCCGCUUGGGUUCUGCGGUGUAUUUCAGGUGGCGGGUGUUAUUUCUCCCAUUAAAUGAAGCUGGCUUUGAAUGGGUUUCAAAUCUUACGGUCUUCUUCUGUCGGGACUCGGAAGGGAAGGAUUUAGUUUCAUCAGGAAGUGAGAGACUCGAGUGUUAUCAGACUUGCUUUUUCGCUGCCUAUAUAAGAAGCUGCUGAAGUAUUUAAGCAUGUCUACCAUUGCUGUGGACUUCCCUGUGGUGAGUUCUUCUCUCUUCUCCUUCCUUCUCCACAGUUAUGAACGCUUCCCAACUCCCUGGGGAUGCAGAAGAAUGUAGCAGCUGCGAGUCUGGAUGGACCAAGUAUCUUUCUUCCCCUGCGCAUGAUGAUGACGACAGUGAGGAGGAAUCUGUUGUCGGGGAUGCUGGUGAAGACACAGGUCACGGGAGCAAGGAGAGUGAUGAUGACUCCAUGGCUUCUGAUGCUUCCACUGGUUUGAUACAGAGCAAGGAUUCAGACGGCAUGGUUCACUCCAAGUGUAAUGAUGCCAAUGAUGAUGAUGAUGAUGAUGAUGAUGAUGAUGGAUUCAGGAACAAGAAGCAGAUUCAGUGUUCUUCCCACUCCAACAAGCAAUUCUGUAAGGUGGAGGAAGCCAGAAGUGAAAGAGAAGAUUUUGCUGCUCUACAUAGCAACUCCAAAGCAAGAAAGAAAAAGUUGAAGUGAUUGGUUUGCAGGCAGGCAGGUGAGAGGACUGGUGUUUGAUAGUCCACGAUGAACAGUUUACCUUGCUGUAGGAAUAAUUUGAUGGAAACGGAGGCCGGAAUCUGAAACUCAUGUGUUGUUUGUUGAACAGUGUUGGUAUCAGCAUCAACAUGUCUGCAUGGCAUUUGAACUUGCAAUGCUGGUCUAUAUGUUUAGGCUUCUUCUUCUUCUUCUUUUUCUUGAAGGGAAUUUAUGCUCAUCUUCUUCUCCAAGAAGAGUUGAGAGGCUAUCAUCAUGCAGUUGCUGGUAA